rnacentral:lncRNA from 1 species
GGGGUAUGUUAUUAGAUCCUCUAUUUGGCUUAAUCAGCAUCUUCAUAAUUUUCCAAUAAGUCUUAGAAUCUGAAGCGUUAUCUAGUAUUAUAUUUUCCAAGUUUUUCUCAAAAUUUUCUUUCGCUUCUUUUUUCAUAUUAUUCACUUUAUUCCUCUGUUUCUUAUAUUUAUUAAUAUCCGUUUCUUUUUUAGAUUUAAUUGAUUUUUUUCGUAAUCUAUCCCUUAUUCGAAUUGCUUUUCUGAUAUUACUGUUAAACCAGUGUUUGUCAUUACCACGUAUAGUUACUAUUUUGGUUGGAAUGCUCUCUCUUGCAAUGCUGAGGAUUUUUUCAGUGAAUAUAGUGACCAUUUCGUCUACUUC